GAACAGAAGCAGAGUUGCAUCACUCUCCAUGUCGAAGCUUUCAACUCACAGAAGAAAAGGAGUGGUGUUUUGAUAAGGAAUAAGCUUGAUAGCACAAUCCACGUGCACUGGAAAGGAGCUGCAGAGAAGAUACUAGCAAUGUGCUCAAGUUAUUAUGAUGCUUCCGGAAUAAUGAAAGAUUUGGAUGAUCAGCAAAAGAGUGUAUUCAAGCAAAUUAUUCA
rnacentral:misc_RNA from 1 species